CUUAGAGAAAGCAAAAAGGAGGGACUCCCAGUGACCUGAUGGCAGACAGUCACCUUCUCAUACGUAACAGGGCAUCUGCAUAAAAGGAUUCCAUAAAGCCUGAAAGAAUUCCCUACCUCUAAAUGUGACUUAUAUCUUCUUAUCUGGGUGAUAACAGCUAGUCUUCAUUUGGCUUCUUAGAAGGGCACCAAGCCAGAACCCAAUCAGAGUCCCGGGAAUCUGCGGAUACCUGUCAACCACAGACACCUGUGAC